UCACUGGAAUUAUUAAUUUUGAAAAAGCUUAGGAAGCUCAAUUACAUACAGAAUAAUAUUAUAGUACCUGUUAUACAGGAAAUAUUAACUCUUUUAAAACCUCAGAGAUUAGAAGUCUUUCAAGAAACAGAUGUUCCUACACUGCUGAUUGACAAUGACGCACAACUUAAUGAGGAGUGAAUUUGAGGAGUAUCUUUCUACUACUGAAAAUUAUAACAACAUGAGUUACGAAAUUAAAAUUUAGUCGUGUUGGAGCAAGUCAUGGUGCAGCGAGAACUACAAGAAAAAUACUGAAAAGUCUUAUUACUUCAAAGUUUGCGAUGCAUUUUAAUUGGGGAGGAAGAACUCCAAAGAGACCUUUUAAAGAACUUAAAUUAAAAGAUUUGAUUCUCGAUUCUGUGCAUAAAGCGAUUUCUUCAGCGUCAACACAAGUAAUUGAAAAUUCCAUUAAAGAUUGGUUGAAACAAGCCAUGACUAGAGUUAUAUAGUCAUACUUUAUAAUCAUUUCUUUUAUUCAUAUUUUAAAGGCAUAAAUAUAUAUUAAACAUAUAUUUUUAUUUUAUUAUAAAAGUUAUGCGACAUGAAAUAAUAGUGUUAAAAAUAAAUAAUUAAUAAUAGUGAAUUCUGAAAUGGAGCUUUAUAUAAGUGUUAUAACAUUUUUCUUUAUUUCAACGACAUCUUUGUUUUGUGAUUACAUUUAUUUUUUUUUAUUAAAUUCUCUGCAUUAAGCAAUUUUUUCAGUGUUAACACAAUAAAUUGAAUCUAAGUCCAUUAAGCAAUUUUUUUCAGUGUUAACACAAUAAAUUGAAUCUAAGUCCAUUAAGAUCGACUGAAACAAGCUAAGAUCAGAAUUAUGUUAUAUAAUUCUUCGUUAUUUCUUUUAUUCAUAUUUUAAAAAUGCAUAUUACACAUGUAUUUUUAUUUUAUUAUCAAAGUCGUACCUAAAAUAAUAUAAGAAUUAAAUCCAUUUUAGAAUUCAGCAUAACAUUCUUUACUUUAGUGAUUAAUAUUUUCUCUUUCUU